UUCACCCCCUCAUUCGUAUUUCUUGGAUUCCAUAAAUUGUAAGGUCAAUCGGCAUAGCGUGGAGUGCCGAGAAGAACCAGACCAUGGAGAUCACGAAGCCGCCGGAAGCAGAGGAAGGCCUGGUCAUGGACUCCUCCGUCGACUACAAGGGAAGGCUUCCCCGACGAGCCUCCACCGGCUGCUGGAAAUCUUCCCUGUUCAUCAUCGUGAUCGAGUUCGCGGAGCGGCUGAGCUACUUCGGCCUGUCCACCAAUUUGAUCAUAUACCUCACCCAGGUGCUGCGUCAAGAUCUGAAGACGGCGGUGAGGAACGUCAACUACUGGAGCGGCGUCACCGCCGUGAUCCCUCUCCUCGGCGGUUUCAUGGCUGACGCUUAUUCCGGCCGCUACGCCACCGUUGUCGCCUCCUCCCUCAUCUACAUCGUCGGCCUUCUCCUGCUCACCGUGUCCCAAGUCAUCCCCGGCCUGAAACCCUGCGACCAAGACGAGCCGGACAGUGCUGCAUGUCGCCGGUCGCUCAGCGCCCACGCGAUCGCCUUCUUCGUCGCGAUGUACCUGAUAUCCUUCGGCACAGGCGGCCACAAGCCGUCGCUGGAGAGCUUUGGCGCCGACCAGUUCGACGACAACGACGCAGUGGAGCGGCGGCAGAAGAUGUCCUUCUUCAACUGGUGGAACUUCGGGCUCUGCAGCGGGAUGAUUAUCGGCGUCACCUUCGUCGUUUAUCUGGCCGUCAACGUCGGGUGGUGGGUCGGCAGCGCCCUGCUCACCUCCAUCAUGGCGGUUAGCCUCGUGAUUUUCAUCGCAGGCCGGACGGUCUACCGAUACCGCGCGCCGGAGGGAAGCCCCUUCACGCCGAUGAUGCAGGUAGCGGUGGCUGCGAUGGCCAAGAGAAGGAUGGCUCUGCCUCCGGAUGCAAGUGAACUCUAUGAACUCCGCAAAACAGAGCAAAAGAAGAGACUCCUCUACCACACUGAUCGACUGAAAUUUCUCGACAAAGCUGCCGUCAUCGAACACAAAGGCGACGAAACCGCCUUCGCGGUGGAGAAAUCUAACCCGUGGCGGCUCGCGACGGUGACGCGAGUCGAGGAACUCAAGCUCGUCCUCUCCAUGAUCCCCGUGUGGGUCACAGCAAUGCCCUUCGGCAUGUGCGUCGUUCAAACCAACACCUUCUUCGUCAAGCAGUGCAGCAUCAGCGACCGCCGCUUCGGCCACUUCACCAUCCCCGCCGCCUCCGUCUUCUGCGUCACCGCCACCGGCAUGCUCCUCACCGUGAUCUUCUACGACAAGGUCCUCAUCCCUCUCCUCCGGCGAUCCACCGGGAGCGUCCGCGCCAUCAGCAUCCUCAAGCGCAUCGGCAUCGGCAUGACGAUCGUGACAGUGGGCAUGGCCACGGCGGCUCUGGUGGAGCGGCGCCGCCUCAAUGAGGCGGCGGAGGGAAGAAACGUGAGCCUGCUCUGGAUGCUGCCGCAGUUCUUUAUACUGGGCAUCGGCGACGGUUUCACGUUGGUGGGGCUGCAGGAGUACUUCUACGAGCAGGUGCCCGACGGCAUGCGCAGCUUGGGGAUCGCCUUCUACCUCAGCGUGCUGGGCAUCCCCAACUUCAUCUGCAAUCUGUUGAUCACAAUCGUCGAUCGGAUCACGUCCCAGGGAUCCAACGGUAGCUGGUUCGCCAAGGAUCUCAACGACAGCCGCGUGGACCUUUACUAUUGGCUCUUGGCAGCUAUUAGCUCGGCCAACUUAUGUGCUUACGUGUUCAUUGCCAAAGGAUACUCGUACAAGAGAGUUCAAAGGAAGGUGGCAGACUCCGAUUCCCAUCAAAUGGAUGCCCAAAUUUGAAUGACAGAUUUAUUAAUGAAAUCAUUAAGUCGCUACUUAUUACUAUCCUGCUGAAGAAUUUUAAAUGUAGCCGAAUAAAUCGGCCCGAUAAGCUCUCCCGUAGUGGUUAGUUGCGCUUUAUUUGAUGAUUGGUGCCCGCUAUAAAACCACCGAGGCGGCCCUCGAGGUUUUCGUUGGGUUUUGGCCGCGGCUAUCGACGCUGCGACUGGG